rnacentral:misc_RNA from 1 species
GAUGAAGAACGCAGUGAAAUGCGAUAAGUAAUGCGAAUUGCAGAAUUCAGUGAGUCAUCGAAUCUUUGAACGCACAUUGCGCCCUGUGGUAUUCCGCAGGGCAUGCCUGUUCGAGCGUGAUUUCAACCCUCAAGCUCUGCUUGGUGUUGGGCCCUGCCCGCUGCGGCCGGCCCUAAAGACAGUGGCGGUGCCGCCUGGCCCUGAGCGUAGUACAUCUCUCGCUCCAGUGCCCGGUGGUAGCCUGCCAGAACCCCAACUCUCGUGGUUGACCUCGGAUCAGGUAGGGAUACCCGCUGAACUUAAGCAUAUCAAUAAGCGGAGGA